rnacentral:rRNA from 1 species
AUUGAACGCUGGCGGCAUGCUUUACACAUGCAAGUCGAACGGCAGCGCGGGCUUCGGCCUGGCGGCGAGUGGCGAACGGGUGAGUAAUGCAUCGGAACGUGCCCAGUAGUGGGGGAUAGCCCGGCGAAAGCCGGAUUAAUACCGCAUACGACCUGAGGGUGAAAGCGGGGGACCGAAAGGCCUCGCGCUAUUGGAGCGGCCGAUGUCGGAUUAGCUAGUUGGUGGGGUAAAGGCUUACCAAGGCGACGAUCCGUAGCUGGUCUGAGAGGACGACCAGCCACACUGGGACUGAGACACGGCCCAGCCUCCUAGGGAGGCAGCAGUGGGGAAUUUUGGACAAUGGGGGCAACCCUGAUCCAGCCAUGCCGCGUGCGGGAAGAAGGCCUUCGGGUUGUAAACCGCUUUUGUUCGGGAAGAAAUCCUCUGGGCUAAUACCCCGGGGGGAUGACGGUACCGGAAGAAUAAGCACCGGCUAACUACGUG